rnacentral:snRNA from 9 species
AUACUUACCUGGCGUAGGGUUACCAUAAUCAUGCAAGCGGUUCCCCCAGGGUGAGGCUGCUCCAUUGCACUGCGUAGUGCUUGACCCUUGCCAUUAUUUAUAUUUUUUUAUAAGUUUCACUUCUAGCGUGUGUGACUUGCACACAUACACACU